GCGCGGCCUCCGCCGAGUCCGGUGUGCCGCAGCGGCAGCCGGAGCCGGGGACCCAACCGAGAACUCUGGGGUGAAUCGGCCCGACUCCCUCCGCGGAGACGGCCGUAGGGCAACCCUUCCGAUGUACCCGCCCGAACCCGACAGCUAACCCGGUAGGCGGAGCACGGAAGGAGU
rfam:Streptomyces afghaniensis 772 genomic scaffold STAFG_scaffold1243, whole genome shotgun sequence.